rnacentral:rRNA from 1 species
GUGCUAAGGUAGCAUAAUCAUUUGCUUCUUAAUUGGUAGCUGGAAUGAACGGUUGAACUGGGUUAGUAAGUGUGUAUAUUUAAACAGAAAAUUAAAGUUAAGGUAAUAAUUCUUUGAUGAGUUAGGGGACGAUAAGACCCUACAAGCUUAAUAAGUAUAGCAUUGGCUUUGUUUUUCAAGUUAGUUUAUUUUACUGGGGAGGUAUAGGUACUUAAACUAUCAAUUAAUUUAGGAUCCUUAAAAUAUAGAUGAAAUGGAAAAGUUACUUUAGGGGUAACAGUGCAAUAUUUUUGGAGAGAUCUUAUCGAUAAAUAUGGUUGCAACCUCGAUGUUGAAUUA